UGACUCAGUGAUGUGGUCAGUGGCCA
rnacentral:piRNA from 1 species